GCAUAGACACCCGUGAAGGUAACAGCGACAAUCCCAAGUUUUUGGGCGUGGAUUGUAGCGAAUAGCCUGUUAUGCC
rnacentral:sRNA from 1 species